GAUGAACGCUGGCGGCGUGCUUAACACAUGCAAGUCGAGCGAAAAGACGAGGAGCUUGCUCCUCUGACGUUAGCCGCGCACGGGUGUGUAACACGUGGAUAACCUCCCUAUAAGACUGAGAUAACUUCGGGACACCGGCGCUUACACCGUAUAACAUCUUGCAGCGCAUGGGUCAAUAGAAAAAUACGGCCUUUCUGGAUCUUAUCGCUGGAUCCGGGCGGCAUUAGCUAGUUGGUAAGGUAACGGCUUACCACGGCAACCAUGCGUAGCCGACCUGCGAGGGUGGUAGGCCACCCUGGAGCUGGGACAGGGACCAGGGUCCUACGAGAGGCAGCAGUAGGCAAUCGGCCGCAAUGGGCGAAAGCAUGACGGAGCAACGCGGCGUGAGUGAAGAAAGUCUUCGGAUCGUAAUACUCGGUUAUUAGGGAAGAACAAAUGUGUAAGUAACUAUGCACGGCUUGACGGUACCUGAUCAGAAAGCAACGGCUAACUACGUG
rnacentral:rRNA from 1 species